GGAAGCAGUAGACGUGAUUUAUCUGGAUUUUUAUUAAGGCUUUUGACACAGUCCCACAUGACAGUCUGAUAAGUAAACUUGGGAAGUAUGGUCUAAAUGAAAUUACCAUAAGGUGGGUGCAUAAAUGGUUGAAAGACCAUAUUCAGAGAGUUGUUGUCAAUGGUUUACUGUCAAACUCAGAGGAUGUAUCUAGUGAGGCCCUGCAGCUGUCUGACCUGGGUCUGGUAUUCUUCAACAUUUUCAUUGAUGUCUUGGAUAACGGAGUGGAGAGGAUGCAUAUAAAAUUUGCAGGUGACACUAAGCUGGAAGGGGUUGCAAGCACUUGGAGGACAGGAUUAAAAUUCAAAAUGAUCUUGACAAAUUGGAGAAUUGAUUUGAAAUCAACAAAAUUACAUUAAAUAAAGACAAGUGCAAAGUACUUCACUUAGGAAAGCCACUUUUUAAUACAACGUAGAGCACCAAAAUUACUCUCACAGCACUGGUUGCUGGAACCCACAAAAUAAUUUUUAUCAACUUCACCACUUUGAAAAACAGCUGAUGUUCAGGCUAGCUUAAUGAACUGAGAUAUUUCAGUACUGACUUCAGUGAUCUUUCUGUAAACUGGUUUGCAACAGAUGAAGCUGAGUCAUCAGUCAAUCAUAGUUGAAUUUAGAACUAUACACUUGAAGCACAUCUUGAACUUGUGUUUGUUAGUUCUGGAGUUAUGAUGAGAGUUUCAAGAUUUUGAAUAAUUUUGUAGCUUGUGAAAAUUUCACUAAAUACUGGACAUUUUCAAAUCAAUUACUUCAUAGUAGAUGUAUUUAUAAAAUUCUUUUAUUGAAUUUGGAUAGCUGGCUUUAGCUGUCCCUAUUAACAUUUUCCUGGGAAUUUCUCUCUUUCUUGGAAGCUCAGGCCAGUCAACUAUCUCCAAUUUUAAACUUUUCUGGUGGAUUUGUUCUCAGUAUAAACUGUAGAAUGCAUCUAAUUGGAUGGACUGAAGUGAAUUAAAUGAGUUAGACUGAAGAAUUUGGAACAGAUUGUCUAGCUUGCUUAACGCUUUUUGAACGAGUUCAGUACCAAAGAGGAAGUGAAACUUUUCUGUUUGAGCUGCUACGCCACUAAUUUGAGCUCUCAUUUCAGAAUCUUUCACUGCAUCUUUCACAACCUCCCAAGAUGCACACAGUUCAAGGUAGUUCUUCAAAAUUGAAACCAAUGCCUCUGCACGGAGAAUACAUCUUGUUGGACAGAGGACACAGAUGCCAGGCAGAAGAGGAUCCUUAUGUAUCAGCUGAAAAAGUCAAGACAAAUUUGCUGAAGAAGACGGCUGUUUCAUCUGCCAUACCUAUGUUCUGUCAUCAGUGGUUUCAGGAAAAAAAUGCAUGCAAUGAAGGAAUUUCAAAUAUAGAGAAAAUAUUUUCAAAUAUAUUACAUUAAUGUGAGUCUAAUUAUUAUGCAUGUCCAUAUGGUUUUUACUACUGUUGUGCCAAAUCCUGCUCACCUAACAUUAGUGAGUCUACUCAUGCAAGUAGAGAAAAUAGGUCUUGUUGUCUUAAACAGGUUCAACUAUUUCUCCAAAUGUUGUGCAAUUUAUUUUUAAAAAUUGAAACAGUUUGGUGUUUUUUAUCUGUCUGUAAAGUCCUGCCCUUUUCAUCCUUAUGGGAAGAGACCUCAGCCUUGAUUUGUGGUUCUUUCCCCCCAAGAAUGCAUGAGGCAAUGCUGUUGAUCAAACAAAAUGCAGAUGCAUGUCCAUUGAUAUCUAAGGAUGCACUGAAGUUGAAUCACAAGAGAGAGCACUUCCUUUAUCCUCUUUUAUCUCUCACCUUCCAGUCACAAGAGGGAAAUCACUGCUCCCUAUCAGAGGUGGAAAAACAAGAAGAGAGAAAUUGACAAGUGUAAAGCACUCCUGCAAGUUUCAGCUGGAAAACUUCCUCUUUUAAGAUGGUGAACUAAUUAGUUUGAUGCCAUAUUAAUGUCCUCUCAGCUGGAGGAAGCUCAACUGAAACCAUCAUGGACUCUGGAAGAUUCUGUAAGUGUAGUC